UCCAAAAAUUUUUCUUUACACAUUAGCUUAUGCAUUUGCACCAUUUAUAUAUGUGAGUACUAAUGUUAUUUUAUAAUUGAUCGAUUAGUGUCCAAGACAAGAAGGAGGGUUCGAAUGUGGCUACUUUGUUAUGAGAUUCAUUAAAGAGAUAAUUUUUUAUCCUACAAUUAUUGCUUCAAAGUUUGGUAAUAAAAAAAACAUAUUCUCAAGUAGAAUUCGAUGAAAUUAGAGGAGAAUGGGCUACUUUUGUGCUACAACUAAUCAUGAAUCAUGUUGAUGCAUCAUGAUCACCAUGCAUGGUGAGUCCCUUAGCUACUACAUGAAUUUUUCCAUAGGUAUACACUCUUGGGAGGGUGAAAUGGAGAAUAAAAAGAAAGAAGAAGGCAACAAGAUUUUGGGUUUUUAAAUGCAACUCUUAUGUCA